ensembl:lncRNA
AUGGCCACCACGCCAGAGUACUCGGCCAAGAUGGCCGCCACGCCUGAGUCUCGUCAAGUCUUGGCAGUCACUGAGUCUGUUCCCGUGGCCUCAGUACUUCUAGUAAUGGCAGUCGCCAUUUUGAGCGUGUGGGCCACUCACUGCGCUCCAGAGACUUUUCCUGUCCAUGAACUUUCUGCCUGUCCUGCCAUGGCCAAGGAGGCCGUCCCUGAGCUCUCUGCCUGCCCUGUCAUGGCUAAGGAGGCCGUCCACGAACUCUUUGUCUGUCCUGCCACGGCCAAGGAGGCCGUCCACGAGCUCUCUGCCUGUCCUGCCACGGCCAAGGAGGCCAUCCCCGAACUCUCUGCCUGUCCUGUCAUGGCCAUGAAGGCAGUUCACGAACUUAUUGUCUGUCCCGUUAUGGCCAAGAAGGCCAUUCAUGAACUCAUUGCCUGUCCUUUUACGGCCACGGAGGCCGCUCAUGAACUCACUGCCUGUCCUGUAACGGCCACGGAGGCCGCUCAUGAACUCACUAUCUGUCCUGUAACGGCCAAGUGGUCUGUCCAUGUCUCUGCUUCAACAUGGCUUCAAGCUCUGCCUGCACUGCCUGGCCACCCCGCUGGGCCUGCACCGCCAUGGCUCCACAGGUCCUGUUCCUUUUAAUGGGCCUGGCCCUCCAUCCCUCCCGCUGUUCCGCCUCCACUCCACCACCCUCCUGGACUUUUUGGGUUUAGUUUGUUUGGGCGUCAGGAGCCGCCCUUAGAGGGGGGGGUGGUGUAAUGUCUGUUUUGGGUUUUGUUUCAUGUUUUCAUGUCUUUUUAUUUUGUUAUUGUUUGAUUUUGCUGUUUGUGUUAUGAUUCCCUUGCCCUCAUGUAUCUCUGCUUUGUGUAUGUGUCAUGUUCUCAUUGGUUGCUUUAGUCAUGUGUCUUGUUCCGAUUGGUUUGUUCUUGUCAUGUGACCCUCAUUGUUUGUAUAAGUAGUCAUGUUUUUGUCAUUCUCUCUUGUCGUGUAUUAUCAUAACAUUGUAACCUGCUGUCGGUGAGUCUAGUCUGUUCAUGCCAUGUGAAGUCUGUUCUAGUCAAGUCUGUGUAUCUUGUUUGGAUUUUGGAUCGCACCAUUGUAAAUAAACUGCACUUGGGUUCAUCUACA